GGAGAGGUACCCAGAGCGGCCUAAUGGGGUCCGGGUCACCGGAAGGGCUUCGGCCCACGCAGGUUCGAAUCCUGCCCUCUCCG
rnacentral:tRNA from 1 species